UACGUAGGGUGCAAGCGUUAAUCGGAAUUACUGGGCGUAAAGCGUGCGCAGGCGGUUUUGUAAGUCUGUCGUGAAAUCCCCGGGCUCAACCUGGGAAUUGCGAUGGAGACUGCAAGGCUAGAAUCUGGCAGAGGGGGGUAGAAUUCCACGUGUAGCAGUGAAAUGCGUAGAGAUGUGGAGGAACACCGAUGGCGAAGGCAGCCCCCUGGGUCAAGAUUGACGCUCAUGCACGAAAGCGUGGGGAGCAAACAGGAUUAGAGUACCCCAGUAACG
rnacentral:rRNA from 1 species